GACGAACGCUGGCGGCGUGCUUAACACAGGCAAGUCGAACGCUGAAGCUCAGCUUUUGUUGGGUGGAUGAGUGGCGAACGGGUGAGUAACACGUGAGUAACCUGCCUCCUUCUUUGGGAUAACGCCCGGAAACGGGUGCUAAUACUGGAUAUUCGCUGGUCUUCGCCUGGGGGUGGGUGGAAAGGGGUUUUCUGGUGGGGGAUGGGCUCGCGGCCUAUCAGGUUGUUGGUGGGGUGAUGGCGUACCAAGGCUUUGACGGGUAGCCGGCCUGAGAGGGUGACCGGUGCCACUGGCCCUGAGCUACGGCCCAGCCCCACCCGCCAGGCCGUAGUGGGGAGUCUUGCGCGAUGCGCGCAAGCAUGAGCCAGCUACGCCCCGUGAGCGAUGGAUGUUGCCGGGUUGUGAACCGGUUGCGAUUACGGUCCAGCCGACCAAAUGUUUGUUGUGCGGUUCCUGGGUAAAGAAGCGCCGGCUAACUACCUG
rnacentral:rRNA from 1 species